UCCUGGCUCAGGAUGAACGCUAGCGACAGGCCUAACACAUGCAAGUCGAGGGGCAGCGCGGGAGAAGCUUGCUUUCCUGGCGGCGACCGGCGCACGGGUGCGUAACAGGUGUGCAAUCUGUCCAUAGUCGGGGGAUAGCCCAGCGAAAGCUGAAUUAACACUCCAUGUGAAUCGAAGCCGCAUGACUUUGAUUUGAAACGCAAGGACUAUGGGUGAGCACGCUUCUGAUUAGCUAGUUGGUGGGGUAACGGCUCACCAAGGCGACGAUCAGUAGGGGUUCUGGGAGGAAGGUCCCCCACAUUGGAACUGAGACACGGUCCAAACUCCUACGGGAGGCAGCAGUGAGGAAUAUUGGUCAAUGGGCGAGAGCCUGAACCAGCCAAGUCGCGUGAAAGGAUGAAGGUUCUAUGGAUUGUAAACUUCUUUUGUCCGAGGGUAAAAAAGGCCACGUGUGGCUUCUUGCAAGUAUCGGACGAAUAAGCAUCGGCUAACUCCGUGCCAGCCGCAGC
rnacentral:rRNA from 1 species